rnacentral:lncRNA from 1 species
GAGAGUAGAGAUUACAAAAGAACAGACAUUACAAUAUUUAGUUGAAAGAUAAAACAUUUGGGGAAGGUAAAAAGAAGCUACUUCAAGUGACGAACAUAAAUAAGUAUCUGACUAUUACUAUUACUAUUAAGAUGGAAAGAUAGCAGUGGAGUUGAUUUUUUAUACAGCCAGCUAGCACUACAAGACAAACCUUAGAAAUGAACCUCUGAUGUAUCCAUUCAUUCAGGUCAUCUACUUUCACCUUAUCAUCAUUGUUCACAUUUUUGAGACUUGGUGUACUGACAGAUCCCUGUUGGACAAACGUCUUCAUUUCAGGGCAUUUAUGAAUCUCCACUUCUCUGAGGAAUGGAAAUUCAAGAGCUUGCUUAGUCAGAAUGAAAUGCCCCAGCUUUCGCAGAUUUUCAAGUUUCAGCUUUUCCAAUCGGGGAAAUAAGGGCUCAUUACACAUAAUUUCAUCUCCUUGUUGUUCCUCUUCUGUGAUCACUUCUUCCAUUGAUUGACAGCCUCUUAUGCGUAGUCUUUGGAGAUUCACAAGACUUCUGGCCACUGAUGGAGACAUCAAGUUUCUCAAUUUUUCACACCACAAUACUUCCAAGGUUACAAGUUUGCUGAAGUAGGCAGUUGGAAGUUGGUGAGAGCAUAGAGCAGUUAUGCUGCCAGCGCAUUGGAGGUUUAGCACUUCCAGGUUGGGACAAGAAACCUGCAAACAUUGGCAAGGUAUCAACUCCAUUUAUUUAUGAUGUCUUGCAAAUAAUUAAUAAAAUUCUUAUUUAUGGUGUGUUUUUUAAUGUUAUUUUAUUACAGUAAGUUAAAUCUUUUUUAGACUAAAUCAUUAGAUAUCAAUAAAAUGUAAAUACAUAUGAAUACACAAUAUAUAAAUUAAUUGUAUUAUCCAUUUAAUCAUAAUGCAGAAGUUAAUAAAUAUUCUGCUUGAGAAACUGUGAAAGAAAUUAUUUUUUCUUAAUAAUCACGUAGAACAGUAGAAAUACUCCUUUUCAUCAAAAAGAGGGUCGAAAGUGUCAACUCAUUUGUUCUUUCAAACUCAUAUUCAUAUUUCAAGAUAUUUUCUUCUAAUUUGAGAUGAUGAAUUAAUAUUUUCUUCUAAUUUGAGAUGAUGAAUUAUCGGUAAUUUUUAAAAUUGAACAAAGUUUAUCAGUUUUUGGGUUUUAUAAUGACUUUUAUAUAUUACUUUAAAAUUUGGUCAAGUUUGAAUACGUACAUCAUUGCAAAGUUAUUGUUAGACUUAAAAUAAUAACUACUAUGUGCUUAACAGUAUAUAUGUAUUUGUCAAUUUGCCAGUUACUACUAAACUUUUAUUGAUUUAUUAAAACUUUAUUUGUAACUCCAUAAAAUUGAGAUUGAAAUAAUGUUCAUGUGACAAAUGAUCAAAAAACUUUGAAAAAAUUGAUAUAGUUGAUUUGGUUUGAUUUUGAUUAAAAGUGAACCAAAGUGUCCCGUGUACACACAGUCUCUCUAAUCAUGCAUUUAAAAUAGAGGCAUAUUUUGUAAGAAAUUCUCAAUGGCUACUUUAUUAUACUUCAAUAGAAUUUCAAAUUAUAAAUUGAAAAAUACUUUAUUAAUUACAAUUAAAAAAAAACACAAUAAAGAACUAGGUAUGUUGUUCUACAUAAUUUAAAAAAUAGGCAUUCACUUAUAUUAUAAGAGGGAUUGAGCAGCUUUUGGUCAUUGUGCUUGUGGAUCAUUCAGUUGCUUGCUCCAUGAUUUUUUCAUAUCACUCCUAAUUAAUUAUUACAUAUCAUUUACAUAUUAGAAAAUUAUUAAUAUUUAAUUAAAAAAAUAAGUAUUUAUUGACAUGUCUGCUUCAACUGCUUCAAUCAUAACUUUACUAUAUCACCCCUAAUUAAUUAUUAUAAGUCAUUUAAGUAUUAAAAAAUAAAUAUUAAAAACUUAUUAUAAAGUCAUCUAAGUAUUAAAUAAUUAAUAAUUUAAUGUCAAAUUAACUUGAUAUUUUAUAUGGAGCCCACUUAAUUAACUAUUUUUUAUAGUAAUUUUGCUACAUCACUUUUAAUUAGUUAUUAAAAGUCACUUAAGACAUGUAUCCUUCGCUGUUUCAAUUGUAAUUUUACUAUGUCACCCCUAAUUAAUUAUUAUGUCCAUCGAAGUAUUGUGUCACUAAAAUUGAAAUAGAAGAAAAAAAUAUUAUAAAUCACAAUAAGUAAAAAAUUGAAUUAUUUAAAGAAUAUAAUUGACUUUCAGUGUCACAAAUGUUUGGACAAGGAGAUUAACAUAUAUUAUUUGAAAAUUACAUAAAAAGAGUUAUAAAUUACAAUAGUUAACCACUUAAAAUAUGUAAAAAUAAUAAUCUGUUAUAUAUUCCACAAAAAUACGUAAAAAAUACAAUAAAUCACAAUAAUUAACAACUUAAAAAAUUUAAAAGAUAUAAAAUAUUUGGUUUACCCUCGAAAUUAUAUCAGUGCCACUUAAAUUGAAAUAGUUAAAAAUAUAAUUGAUUAUCAAUGCAAAAAAAAAAAAUAAAAAUGAACAAGAAUAGUAACAUGUAUUAUUUGAAAAUUACAUAAAAAAAUAUUAUAAAUUACAAUAGUUAACAACUUAAAAUAUCUAAAAAUAAAUAAAUUAAUCUAUAAUAUAUUUCAAAAAAUACUAUAAAUCACAAUAAUCAACAACUGAAAAAAUUAAAAAGACAUAAAAUAUUUAAUUGACUCUCGAAAUUAUAUUAGUGUCACAUAAAUUAAAAUAGAAAAAAGUAGUAUAAAUUAAAGUAAUUAAAAAUUUAAAUUAUUUUGAAAAUAUAAUUGAUUGUGAAUGCCUAUAUAGAGGGUAAUAUAUUAUAAAGGUAAAAUAUGUAAUUCAUAAAAACCCUUCAAAUAAAGACUUUUUCGUGUAGAAGCAAACCUUUUCAUUAAAAAGAGGAUUUGAGUCGGUGAUAGCAUUGUCGGCUGUUGGCCAGAAAUUUUGGAACGUCGGUAUACUCCAGAAAUGCAUUUCCCGUAACAGAGAGAACUCAAUGCCCUCAACAGUGUCACUGAAAAAGUGUGUGAGGCGUAGCAGAUAUCCCAGUUCCAAGCGAUAUAAUUUGGGGAACUUGAUUACGUCACCUCUGAUAUGUGUCCUUCGAGAGAUCCCCUCUUCUUCGUCAUCAGGGCAAGCCAAGGAAGCACGAAAAAGAUGAGGUAGAUGAUCACAAUGGAUUAGCUUCAGACUUUCGAGUUUGGGGAAUGGAAUGUUAUUCUGACAGUGGAUAUUCAAUGAAUCACAAAAACCCACCGUGAGAUCUUUUACAUUCUGCAACUCGACCACUACAUUCUUGGAGCCCUUUCCAUUUGAAUCUACAAAUUCGCUAUUCCUCAACAGGUGGCGGAUCCAAUCAGCCAAUGGGGUGCUCUUGGUGACCUCUAGAGAGAUAAUCUUGUUGUAAGUGUUCAUGAUUGAAUCCUCUAUGUUCCAUCCACCCACUGUAAGAGCGUACCGAGUCAACUUGGAGGAAAGGCCCAAGUUACUGUAAAUCACAUCUUCAGAACAAUCAUUUAUUGUCAGUGCAGUCAAUUUCGAUAAGGAUUCCAGCUCCCUCAAGGUGGAGUAACUACACUGUUUUACUCCCACCACAUGUAGUUCCUCCAAUCGAACUAGUCUUGAUAACACCCCUGGUGAAAUUCUCAUACGUUCUUUUCCUCCAUUCCAUAACAUUGGCAUAGCUCGCUUGGUUAACUCUACCAUACUUAGAUUGGUUAACUCUAGAAUAGUUAGAUUGGUUAAGUUUCCUAUCUCCACUGGAAACUCCUUUAAGUAAGAAUCCUUGAUGCUGAGAAUUUCUAAAAAGACUAGUUCCCGAAUAAUAGACACGUCAUCCAACCUUAGAUUACUCAGACACAACGUCUUCAGAUUUGACAACCUCUGAAUGGAUGAUGGAAAGGGCAGAAGGGAGUUUCGACCAGAUCCACUCAGGCUUACGACACUGAGUUUACUCGUUCCAUCACAAAAACCAUCCUGUAAUUUGAAACCCUCUUUGGAACGGAGUUUUAACAUCAGAAGCUUUAGUCGUGGGCAAGAUAUUGGUCUGGGACUCCAAUCAAAUUUAUUUGCAACAAUAGACAUGUGACUGUAUUGCUCGUAAGAGUCUUUUCUCGGGAACUCGUCUGAGUUCACAUUGUGAUUUACCAUAAAUUUAUGCUCACCCUCAGACGCAAUAUAUAUAGCCACGUCACGGACCACAUCAUGCAUUUUGACAUAAUUUAUGUGUGAACCUUGGGAUAACAAGAAACAAUUUUUCAAUGUUUCUAACAGAUUGCACACCCUAUUUCUUGCAUUUUCUAAAUUUCCGAGUUCCGAAAAGAUGCCAAGCCCCAUUCCAUAUCUAAGUAAUUCUUCGGUCCAAAUAUCACUAUCUUCCUCAAACAAGGAACAAAGCAAAAAGACAUACCUGGCUUCAUCACUCUCUAAGUGAUUAUAGCUUAUCUUCAGAGGUUGAUACACAUCUGCAAGCACUCCUCGGAUAUUUUUUGGUGCUGCUUUUUGUAAUUCUACAAGGGCAUCCUCCCAUGAAGGCUUGGUUUUACCCUUUAGUGCUCCUGCAACAGUAACAAUUGCAAGUGGUAGCCCCUUGCAUUCUUUGGCAACUUUUUUUGCUACUUCAGAGAGAGAGGAAUCAUCAGCUGAAUUACCGGCUUUCUGCCUAAAAAGGAUCCAUGCUUCCUUUUCAGAUAAGAUUUCAACAUGUACUAUCUUUUUAGCCUUCAUAUCGUCACAAACAUCUCGGAGACGCGUCGUCAAUGCCACUUUGCACUGGUAGUUGCGGUCGCUACCACUGGGAAUUCCAACCCUCUUUAGAUUAACCUCCUUCCAAACAUCAUCCAAAAUUACAAGGACGCGACUGUCCUUCUGCAUUAACCUUGAACGCAGCCGAUCUCCACGCUGCAACAAAUCCUCUCCUUCUGAUGUUUUUAGACCAACUCCUCUGGCGAUCUCAUCCUGUAUUUUUUUAAUGUCUGGUUGUUGUUGACUGACAGUUAUCAUGACAACAUCAUCAAACAACCCUGCUUUUUUCGCCCUUGCUCGUACUUUCUCAGCCAGUGUCGUUUUACCAACACCACCCAUACCACAUAUCCCAACAAUAGUGAUCCCCUCAUCUCUCAAAGCUGUCAUGACCUCUUCCUCCUUCUGUUUUCUGGAGUCGAACUGUUCGUCACUACUAGGUACAACUUCAAUUUCAACUGCAGGUGGUGCUGGACAGGAGGAAGGAGCAUAAUCUCUGCCUUCAGAUUGAAGACCAAUCAUAGCCUGUUCAAUUUUCUUAGCUUUCCUGCUCAGCGAGUAACGUGACUUCAAGUUUGGACACAAACCAUAGAAGCAACCUGUUUCAACCUCAACUCUACGUCGUAGUAAAACUGCCACAUCAACAGUAGUUUCAUCAACACUAGUUAACCAAUUCUCAACAUGAGGUGGCAAGCAUUCUUCGUUUCUCCGUGCAUCCUCCUUUCUUUGCUGCACCCCACUUCGGAUGCCCUCCAGCUUGUUAUUUUCAUUUUCCAAAGAUGUGAUGUUGCGCCUAUAGUAAAACAAAUACCCAAUCUGUCGCCCAACUGGCACUAUCAACUGUUCUGCAACUGGGCUCAAAACAGCAGUUACGAUUUCCAUAGCCAUCUCCUUAAUUAAGUCUGAAUUCUAUAAAUUUUCUUUUUUCUUUUGUGGAGUAGAGUUUCAAGGAAACAAAGGUAGGAGAAAAUGAGUGCUGAGGCGGAAUGGAGCAAGUAGAUGAAAUUGGUUGGAGUAAGAAUCAGUAGAAGAAAGUGAAUACAAGAUAGGAAAAUGAAAGCUCAUAAUUGAUGUACUACUGUCAACUCUACCCUACAUGGACCUGUUACUAUUUUGAAAGCAAUGAAUUAAAGAAAACCAUUCAGCAUGUUAGUAUUCUUUAAACUCAAUUUUAAUAUGCUUUUGUUGUUUUUUGUGCUAACAUGACAUUUUUAUUACAUAAAAAUAAGGUUCACGUCAAAGUUGUAUAUCGUAGUAAAUUUAUUCAUAAUUCUGAAGUAUUAGACCCUUUACUUCAAUGAAUUAUAAACAAGAAACACAUGUUUGUCUUUUAAAAUUGACCUACCCUAUGAUCCCCAGUGCAAUAUUAACCUAAACUUUCUUGUAGUUUUAUAAUAGAUGUUUUACAAGAAGUAUAAUAAAAGUGUCUGCUUGGAAAAAAAGAAAAAAUGAAAAAAAUAUAAAUUCAAACUGAUAAUGUUGAGCUUAUACAACUGAUAUUUAUUCUCCUUACAAAACAUGUGUCACACCUCGAGUCUACAUCCUGGAUGGCGGAGCCAACACUCGAUGGCCCAAAUGUACCCAUAACGUGGCAUAACAUAGAAACAUACAAUAAUGGAGAAUGAUAAUAUGACAAUGAAAAAGGACAGUCUCCGUGCACUAAACCUCGUUCUAUGUAGAGUUUAGAAAAGAAUCUUGUGCACAACCUUACCUUGCAUUUGUACAGCAAUUUAUCGGUUGAUAAUAUGACAAUGAGAGGUAAAAGCAGGAAUAGUAGUAGCGGUGUCAAAAUGACAGCUUUAUUAAAGUGGGAGCUAGUGCUGAUUAGAUAACAUUUCAUAAUGGCAUACAGAGAAAAGUAGCAAUAGAUAAAAAGGAAAAGUAUGUUCGCUUUUGGAAUGUUCCCUCCAAUUGAUUGAGUGAGUCAUUGUUCUCUAUUAUUGAAGUGAAAAUACAACAUUCCCACUUUCUCUCUGUUUCCCCUUUCUCAUUUGUUAAUAUUGCUUCUUGUAUAAUAAAAUAUUGUUUAUAAUAUUUCAAAUAGCUAGUAUAGUUUAGUAAUAACCCUUUUUCUACUCUGAAUUUUAUUAAAUAUUACUACUAUUUCUUUUUAAUUUACUUUUUUGAAUAGUUUUCUUAGAUUUAAAAAAAAAGCAGUUCGAUCUAUUAAAGAUUUUGCUAUAUGCAGGGUAUGAGAAAAGGUCGAAUCAUAAUAAUUUAUUCAAUAAACUUUAUGCUAUACAAUCUUACCUCCAUAUUUCUGCAAGAGUCUAUUUCUCUUACUUAAACUUGUUACCUCAUAAUGAUAUGUUAAAAACAUUUACUAGUUACUCUAACAGUCCCGUUCAAUUGGUUGCCUAAAUGGUAACUGUGAAGUAAAGGUGAUACUGAAUGAAUGGAAGCGAAACAAGAAGUGGAGUUGGAUUGUUAGGUGUGAAAUGAAAGCUGAAAGAGCAAUAAUGGAGAAUUGGGGUCGAAAUGACAGCAUUAUUCAAAAAAGUUUGAUUCCAUAUGGGCAGAAAGAGAAAAGUAGUGUUUGCUUUUGGAAUUUUCCCUCCAAUUGAUUGAGUCAUUUGAUGUUAGUCAAAAUUAUAUUUUCUUUACUCAUUAUUUGUUUUAUAUUUAGUAUUUUUAUUUUUUUUUAACAUUUAUUUUAUGAAUUGUGUCUAAUAUUAUAAUUUGAUGUGUAUGAUGCGAAGAUGAAGAAAUUUAAAGUUAAAAUAAAUUAAAGAUGAAAUAUUAUAAAAGAAAAUUAAACAGGCAGUUUAAUAGAAUAAAUUUAUUAAAAUAAUCAAAUAUGUUCCUGAAUUUGAACGAAAAAAGCAACAAAUCCAGUAGCCUUAUGUGUUAGUGGCGCGACACGCAACUAGCUACAACAGUCCAUUUUUAUUUAUCCUAGUUCAUUUUGGACUCAAUUAUUUUAUUUAGAGGUUUUUUCCUACACCUAUAAAUACUCUAUAAAAGAAAUUUAGCUUUUACAUAACUUUUGACCUAGAGAGAGCUAGAAGUCGUCGUGGAGUCUGAAGAAAAUUGAUUUCAUCUUUUCUUCUCCUUUAUUAUUUAUUUUUACGUUUUUCUUUGGAUGGUUUAUUGGAAUUGCUCCAUAUCUAUAUGGAGUUAAACUUCUCGAUCUAGUCUUUAGUUCACAUUCCAAAACAUUAUUUUUCUUCUUUAUUUUCACUUCAUUUUUCUAUUUUGAGAAGAAUUAUCAGUAAGUUGCACAUUUCAAAAAAAUAAUGGACUAACACAGACGAAAAAUCAAACUACUCAUUGAUUCCUAUUUUGUGACACAUGUGGGGUAAAAGAAGAGGCAUCUGCCUUACAAAAAUAAUAAUGUGCAACAUUUAAUAGGUCGCUCAAAUAGAUGACACAACCGACAUCACAUAUUUCAAAAAUUCAUGGCCUAACAAUACGAAAAAAAUGAAAUAAUUAAUAAUUGUAAUUCCUACUUUUUUAAUUCAUUUGUCAUAAAAUCGUCUAUAUCCACCUCUCUGAAGCAGCCUUCAUCAUUUAAUAGGCCAUCAUGAGAGUAGCCAUGAGUUUUCAGCAAAAAAUUAUUCUGAUGCACCUAUUCUGAAAAUUCCAUAUGCUAACACAUAGAAAAAAUUGAAAUAAUCUGCUUUGUUCUAAAAUAGGCUAGGCCCGCCUCUCUGAAGAAGCCUUUAUCAUUUAAUAGGUCGUCACUGACGUAGCCAUGAGUUUUUGAUAAAAAUAAAUUCUGACGGACCUGUCCCUAGAUAUUCAUAGGCUGACACACACGGAUAAAUUAAAAUAAUUCAAAAACCAUGUUUUUUCGUUCGUUUGUCCUAAAAAAGGCUAGUACACCACUCUAAUGCAGUCCUUAUCAUUUAAUAGGUCGUCACAAGUGUAGCUACGAGUUCAACAAACCGUCAUUCCGACACACCUAUUUCAAGAAAUUCAUAGGCUAACACACAAAAAAAUUGAAAUAAUUCACAGUUCCUACUUUUUCACCCGUUUGUCCUAAGACAAGCUACCGUCUACCUAUCCGAAGUAUACCUUAUCAUUCAAUAGGUCGUCACGAAUGCACCCAUGAGUUUCGGCAAAAAAUCAUUACUAACUCUAUCCCUUUUAAUUCAUUGGCUAGCAUACACGAAAAGACUGAAAUAAUCUGAAAUUUCUAUUUUUUUUACCCAUUUGUUCUAAAAACAGGUUAUGCAUGUUUCUCUGAAGCAACCCUUAUCAUUUAAUAGGUCUGGACGUAUCCAUGAGUUUUCGAUAAAAAAAUAUUCUAAUGCUCCUAUCUCAUAAAUUAAUAGACUAACACACACAAAAAUUGAAAUAAUCUGCAAUCUCUACUUUUUUUGCUCGUUUGUCUUUAAACAUGCUACGAUCGCCUCUCCUCAGGAAUCCUUAUCAUUUAAUAGGUCAUUGCGGACACACCAUCCAUGUAUGGAAUAAAAUAAUCUACGUCCACCUUUCAAAAAUAAUGCACAAUCAUCACAACUGCACCCAUGAAAUUUUAGCUCAAUCAGAGUUUGUCACACAUAUUCUAGAAUAACCAUGGGUUCACACAUAUUACAUACUGAAAUAAUCCUUAACUCCUGUUUCGUGACACGUAUGGAGUAAAAAAGCUACGUCAGUCUUUCAAUAAUAAUGGUAUUAUUUAAUAGGUCGAUACGGACGACCCAUAAAAUUUUAGCUCAAACAGAAUUGGUUGCACAUUUGCCUCAUUAAAAAUAAUUUGCAUCAUUUAAUAGGUCGUCACCGAUAGACCCACAAAAUUUUUGCUCAAAAGAGACGAUCAUACAUAAUUUGAGAAAUCCAUAGUUAAGAGAUUUUUUAUCCCAUCAUUUAUGUGUUAAUGAUAAGAUAAUUUAUCCCAUAAAUAUGGUGGGAUAACUAAUCUGAAAUUAAUUAUUUCGGGAUAACUAGUUCCCAAUCAAAUGAUCCGUAACAAAUUUUUUAUAUGUUUUCGUGACAACAAUUUCGCCACAAAAAGUUGUAACUAGAAGUAUUUUUUUGACUUUUUCAUGUUAUAGUGACAAGAUAGUCGCCACAAAAAGUUGUCAGUAAAAUUGUUUUUCGAUUUUUUCAAAGUUCUAGUGACAAGAUAGUUGCUACAAAAAGCUGUCACUAAAAGUAUUUUUACGAAUUUUUUAUGACAUAGUGACAAGAUAUUUGCCACAAACCGUUGUCACUAAAAGUAUAAUUUGCCGAAUGUUUUUGUAAGUUUUAGUGACAACAAUGUCGCCACAAAAAACUGUCAACAAAAAAUACAUUUUUUUCAAAUUUUGUUAUGUUUUAGUGACAACAUAGUCGCCACAAAAAGUGUCACUAAGUGAUUUCCGAAUUUAUUAUGUGUUUUUGUAACAACCUAGUCGCCACAACAAGCUGUCACUAAAAGUAUAGUUUUCCGAAUUUUUCGCAAGUUUUAGUGACAACAUAGUCGCCACAGAAAGUUGUACUGAAGCUAUAUUUUUCCGAAUUUUUAUAAGUUUUAGUGACAAGAUAAUCGCCACAAAAAACUGUCACUAAAGUAUAUUUUCUCCACUUUUUAUAUGUUUUAGUGACACAAUCGCCACAAAAAGCUGUCACUAAAAGCAGCUUUCCGAAUUUUUAUGUGCUUUUCUAAUAACCUAGUCACCACAACAAGCUGUCACUAAAAGUAUAUUUUUUCGUAAGUUUAGUGACAACAUAUUCGCCACAAAUACUAUCACCAAGAUAAGUUUUCGGACUUUUUUAUAAGUUUUAGUGACAAGAUAGUCGCCACAGAAAGUUGUCACUGAAGGUAUAUUGUAAGUUUUACUGACAAGAUAGUCGCCACAAAACUGUCACUAAAAGUAUAUUUUCUCCAAUUUUUAUAAGUUUUAGUGACAACAUAGUCGCCACAAAAAGCUGUCAGUAAAGUGUAUUUUCCCGAAUUUUUAUAAGUUUUAGUGACAAGAUAGUGGCCACAAAAAAUUGUCACUAAAAGUAUAUUUUCCCGAAUUUUAUAUGUUUUAGUGAUAACAUAGUCGCCACAAAAUGCUGUCACUGAAAGUAUAUUUUUCUGAAUUUCUAUAUGUUUUAGUGACAGCAUAGUCGCCACAAAAAACUGUCACUUAAAGUAUUUCAACUCUUGUCAAGUUGCCAAAUCUCAAAGAGCUCAAACUUAAAGAUCGUGCUGCUAUUGGUGAUGUAUGGAGAUUGCGUGAUGACGACAUAUUUGAAAGCCUAAAGUUGUUGUUAUUUCGCAAAGUAGUUCUUGCGAAUUGGGUAGCAAGCAGUGAUAACUUCCCAAGUCUAAAAUGCCUUGUUCUGAAGAAAUGCGACAACCUUCAGGAAAUUCCAAUAGAUUUUGGAGAAAUUUGUACUUUGGAGUCAAUUGAAUUACAUAAUUGCAGCACUUCUGCUGAGGAUUCUGCAAGAAAGAUUGAACAAGAACAAGAGGACAUGGGAAACAACUGCCUUAAAGUCUACAUCGAUACAUAACACUCAACUUAAGUUUGUUUGGAUUUCUCCGAAAACGAAGAGUUAAUGAUCAACACCGCACCUGCACUAUCACCUUUCUGUGAGUUUUACACUGCAACUAUCAACUCUUCAGUUUUCCUACCUGAACUAUCACCAUCUACUCAGUUAGCUGUAUUUAAUACAUAGAUGAUAGUAGUUCUAGGAAAGGGAAUAACUUAUAGUUGAGGUGUGAAACUUGUGAAAAAGUGAGUUUAGAUAAGUUUUUGAUAGUCAUCUCGAAAAAAGAAAAACGUUUCAUUAGUCACAUUAUUAAUUACUCCAUCUUCACUAAGGACUGGAUGGCCAAAUGUGGCUUCACAACGGAUUCACAAUGUGUCUUAUUCAAACAGGAUCCUGAGUCCAUACAUCAUCUCUUCUUUAAAUGUCCGGGGCAAUAUGGCGUAAGCUAUUGGUUUGAAGUUUGGCACAGGUAAGGAGCUGAAGUAUAUCGCAUGGUUUUAGAAGCUGCAGUACAUCAAAUCUGGCAUGAGAGAAACAAAUCAUGGUUUGAUUGAUCGUGCAAAAGGUGCAUCAUAGAGCUAGUUUAGUUCAUCAAACUUUGAAUAUUACAUGUCAAAGUCGAACUUCUAUUCGUAGACUUGUAGUAGAACUCAUGUCAUCUGGAUAGUGUGUAGAGGAUUAGGUGUUUCUAACUUUUAGUUUUAUAAAAAUGACUAGAACAAGAACAAACAAACAAAAAAUUACGAUGACCAACUUUUGUUAUAGGAUAAAAUCUUUUCGUGUUUAGUCUUCAUGACAUCAGAUGACUUCUGCAACAAACUGCGCCAUAGUUAAUGGGAAAAUUAAGUAUAUUUCAACUGAUUUGUAUUGCAACAUUGUUUAAAUAGGUCAAUCCAAAUAGUUCAAAAGGUAAUACCUAUAGUCUUCAUGACAUAGUCUCAUACUAACGUACUGAAAUCAAAUCAAUCACAAAAAAUAACUAAACGCGACUGAUUCAAAUUUUUUUGACAAGGCAAUAUUUGUCCUAAAGAGUGUUAAUGAAAUCAUGUAUAGUAUUCUUGCCUAGAUUUAUUGCCAAAUAACAUACUGAGCUUUAAUUUUGUAUGAUGAUGAUCUCCAAAACUGACAUACUUUUACUGAUAUGACUUGUGAUAUUAUAGGUAGUGUUGUAAAUAAAAAGGCAUCAACCAGAAUUAGAAACGUAAAACUAGUAUAUUGUAUUAAAACUAGUAUAUUGUAUUAUUACACCAGUAACUUUAACAUUAUCUAUAGUUCUUUCACGCAAUAUAACCGGUGAUAAAUGCAUGUUAAGGUGUUCAAAGGUCUUGGUUUCAACUUGUCUGUGAAAGGAUACAAAGCAUGAUUCAUAUGGUACACUGGUAUCGUUGUUUUAUGUGUCCGCGGAAUCGGCAUUACAGCAUUACUAAAUGGAAAAUGCAAAUACCCAGUUAAUGAGGAUAGAGUGGAAAAGAGAGAAUUAUUCUAUAAAAACAAUGUUUUGCUGAAGCUAGUCAAUGAGUUCUUUUGAACCCGUAAUUAGAACUCUAGGUCCGCCUCUGUGAACAUAUCCCCCAUUUGUCCAACUACAGGUAUUUACAUACCAUUCAUUUGGAAAAAUAUGAUCAGUUCCCAUGGUGUAUGCUAUUUGCUAGCAUGACCUCUUCCUCUUUCAAUUUUCUGGAGUCAAAUAACUCCUCAGCAUUGUGGCUUUUGAUUUCUCACGAAACAACUUGUUCAAACACAACAAACUUGUUUUCUUGAAUACGUGUCAAACAAUCCAAUAAAGCAAGUUGUGAACUACUCCAUAUUCAGACCAAAAAUAAUUUUAGAUAAGCCACGUUAUAUAUACUUACAUAAAUAUUCUUGAUCGUUAUUAAAAAGAGAAGAAAUUUAAAACAGCAUUCCGUCAUCACUGUGGUUUUCUCCAUUAAUAUAUGAGUGACAGUGGCCUUUGAAAAAGCAUUACAUGGAUGAUACCAACGAUAAAAAAGUUGACCAUGUAUCACAAUCAUACAGAAAAAAAAAAAAAGAGUUGGACAGCUUGUGUCAACAGAAAGAUUUACUACUCGAAAAGAACCGUAAAACCAAUUAUUUUUAAUUUGCAGAUACGAGACAUGCAUACAUCAGGAACCGCGGUUAGAAGUGCUCAAAUUCUGAGUAACCAAUAUAGGACUCUAGAGACCGAAGUAAAUACAUUUUAUUUAUGAAAAUCAAGAUUUGGUGAUAUAACAAGUGUACUCUUUCAAAAAUAAAACAGUGAUUAGAAGUGCAUUAGAUGAUCCUACAUGCCUUUAUUCUUUAACAUGACUGGUUAACAAUGAGUCUGUUUUUUGUUAUUUGCAUUAGAUAUAGCUCCAAAUUAGGAUUUUGGAAAACUGUCUAACUCGUUUUCUUCCAAAAACUUAAUUUUAUAGCCAUUUAAAAUCUUUGUACGUAACUGAGACAUAACAGGAACGUAGCUGAGAACACUUUGAAGGCCAUCAAGAAAAUUGAUAAAAUCAAAGUCGAUAGGGAGGAGAGACAUAUUGCAAAGAGGUUCCUUAGACUCUGCUUCAUCACUAAUUUCCCUUACUUUUUAUUUAUCAUGUGGCUUUUCUUGCUAUUAACGUUACUUGGAAAACCAUACAGGAUGAAAGGAAAGAAAGCCAAGGAGCAGAGAGAAGCAAUGAAGGAGUUCGAGUAGCAUUCACUUUCAGGUUCCACAAAAGCAUUCGUAGGAAAAUCGCAUGGAGGAAUGAUUAUUUUGCUUCCUAUACUCUAUAUUCUCAAACUAAAACACAAAUCAUUUCAUGCUUUUUUCCACGGAAUGUGUAAUGUUUUGCUUUCCCCAACUUCCCAAAUUUGUAUAGUUUGGCAACUCAGUCUCAUGAGUAUUGAAAUACUCUUACUAUAUUGAUCAAAAAGUAGAAAUUUUGAAUUUCCCAUAUGAGGAUUUGGAUGGACGAGCAUAUCUCGAAAAGUAAUCUUUUAAAACGACAUAGAAUGCAAAUAUCAUGAGAAAAUAAAGCUAUAUAUUAGCUAUUAAAUUUAACGAAAGAAGAAUUUAGAAUCACAAGAGAAUUCAAAAUUUAAAAUUAAUCAAAUCCUUUACAAAUAGAGAUACAAGUCUCUGGGCAAAAGCUGUUUGGUUCACAUGAACCCAUGAGUUAUAGUGUAGACCCACCUCUGCUUGUUACCUGCCAUCACGAACAUAGGUAUUAUGCUAUGUUCGAGCUAACUUGGAUGCACUUUAGACUUAUCGUCGAGUACUUAAUUAUUACCUUCCUAGUUUUGGAUUCAUAGACAACACUUUAGCUUCUGCCGUCACUAGAUUGAAGCUUCAGAUUUUCUUCCAUCUUCUUCCUGAGAGUAGAGAUUACAAAAAACAGACAUUACAAUAUUUAGUUGAAAGAUAAAACAUUUGGGGGCAGGUAAAAGGAUGCUACUUCAAGUGACGAACAUAAAUAAGUAUCUGAAUAUUGCUAUUACUAUUAACUUAAGAUGGAAAGAUAGCAGUGGAGUUGAUUAGUUAUACAGCCAGCUAGCGCUACAAGACAAACCUUAGACGAAAUGAACCUCUGAUGUAUCCAUUCAUUCAGGCCAUCUACUUUCACCUUAUCAUCAUUGUUCACAUUUUUUAGACUAGGUGUACUGACAGAUCCCUGUUGGACAAACGUCUUCAUUUCAGGGCAUUUAUGAAUCUCCACUUCUCUGAGGAAUGGAAAUUCAAGAGCUUGCUUAGUCAGAAUGAUAUGUCCAAGCUUUGGCAGAUUUUCAAGUUCCAGCUUAUCCAACCGGGGAAAUAAGGGCUCAUUAGUUCUUCCAUUGAUUGACAGUAUUUUAUCCCUAGUGUUUGCAGAUUCAGAAGACCUCUGGCCACUGAUGGAGACAUCAAGUUUCUCAAUUCUCCACAACUAUCUACUUCCAGUUUGUCAAGUUCUUUGAAGUAGGCAGUUGGAAGUUGGUGAGAGCAUAGAGCAGUUAUGCUGUUAGCCUUAUAAAGUCGUAGCACUUCCAGGUUGGGACAAGAAACCUGCAAACAUUGACAAGGUAUCAACUCCAUUUAUUUAUGAUGGUCUUGCAAAUAAUUACUAAUAAAAU